CCCUUAGAUGUUCUGGGUCGCACGCGCGCUACACUGACGGAGCCAACGAGUCUUUUCCUUGUCCGGAAGGACUGGGUAAUCUUGUGAAACUUCGUCGUGCUGGGGAUAGAGCAUUGCAAUUAUUGCUCUUCAACGAGGAAUUCCUAGUAAGCGUGAGUCAUCAGCUCGCAUUGAUUACGUCCCUGCCCUUUGUACACACCGCCCGUCGCUACUACCGAUUGAAUGGCUUAGUGAGCCUUUGGGAUUGGCAGCUUGUACCGGCAACGGUAGCAGGCAGCCGAAAACGUAGGCAAACUUGGUCAUUUAGAGGAAGUAAAAGUCGUAACA
rnacentral:rRNA from 1 species